rnacentral:rRNA from 1 species
GAUGAACGCUGGCGGCGUGCUUAACACAUGCAAGUCGAACGAAGCAUUUAGGACAGAUUACUUCGGUUUGAAGUUCUUUAUGACUGAGUAGCGGACGGGUGAGUAACGCGUGGGUAACCUGCCUUGUACUGGGGGAUAGCAGCUGGAAACGGCUGGUAAUACCGCAUAAGCGCACAAUGUUGCAUGACAUGGUGUGAAAAACUCCGGUGGUAUAAGAUGGACCCGCGUCUGAUUAGCUAGUUGGUGAGAUAACAGCCCACCAAGGCGACGAUCAGUAGCCGACCUGAGAGGGUGACCGGCCACAUUGGGACUGAGACACGGCCCAGACUCCUACGGGAGGCAGCAGUGGGGAAUAUUGCACAAUGGAGGAAACGCUGAUGCAGCGACGCCGCGUGAGUGAAGAAGUAAUUCGUUAUGUAAAGCUCUAUCAGCAGGGAAGAUAGUGACGGUACCUGACUAAGAAGCUCCGGCUAAAUACGUG